rnacentral:rRNA from 1 species
UACCAGCUCUUCGAGUGGUGUGGAUGUUUAUUGGGCCUAAAGCAUCCGUAGCUGGCUGGGCAAGUCCCCUGUUAAAUCCACCGAUUUAAUCGUUGGAGUGCGGGGGAUACUGUUCGGCUAGGGGACGGGAGAGGCAGACGGUAUUUUCGGGGUAGGGGUGAAAGCCUAUAAUCCCGGGAAGACCACCAGUGGCGAAGGCUGUCUGCUAGAACGCGCCCGACGGUGAGGGAUGAAAGCUGGGGGAGCGAACCGGAUUAGAUACCCGGGUAGUCCCAGCUGUAAACGAUGCAGGCUAGGUGUUUGGGCGGCCACGUGCCGCUCUAGUGCCGCAGGGAAGCCGUUAAGCCUGCCGCCUGGGGAGUACGGCCGCAAGGCUGAAACUUAGAGGAAUUGGCGGGGGAGCACCACAAGGCGUGAAGCUUGCGGUUC